rnacentral:rRNA from 1 species
AGUGGACGCUGGCGGUAGGCCUAACACAUGCAAGUCGAACGGCAGCACAGUAAGAGCUUGCUCUUACGGGUGGCGAGUGGCGGACGGGUGAGGAAUACAUCGGAAUCUACUUUUUCGUGGGGGAUAACGUAGGGAAACUUACGCUAAUACCGCAUACGACCUACGGGUGAAAGCAGGGGAUCUUCGGACCUUGCGCGAUUGAAUGAGCCGAUGUCGGAUUAGCUAGUUGGCGGGGUAAAGGCCCACCAAGGCGACGAUCCGUAGCUGGUCUGAGAGGAUGAUCAGCCACACUGGAACUGAGACACGGUCCAGACUCCUACGGGAGGCAGCAGUGGGGAAUAUUGGACAAGGGGCGCAAGCCUGAUCCAGCCAUACCGCGUGGGUGAAGAAGGCCUUCGGGUGGUAAAGCCCUUUUGUUGGGAAAGAAAAGCAGCAGGUUAAUACCCCGCUGUUCUGACGGUACCCAAAGAAUAAGCACCGGCUAACUUCGU